rnacentral:lncRNA from 1 species
CUAUCUUUUACCCUCACUCCCUACCUGCUGCCCCUUACUGAGCCCAUCACUGGCUUCUGAGCUACAACAUUCCCCUUUCUAAAGACAAGCCCAAUCCAUUGAGCAAAGUGAAUGACUGAACCUGUUAAAAACAAAAGGAACAGUAGAAUGUUCAUCAAGUCCUUCAAGCUCCGUGAGGAAAGAGUUUGGAUUACUACUGCUAUAUCUGUCUGCUGUUGGAUAUUGUUUUGCACAGAAAAGUUUCUCCAUCAAAGCUGUUGUCUAUUAAUUGUGGAAUUAGAACAGAUUAUACUUAAGAUCCAUUUCUUCUACUGGUCCCUAGAAAUCUGUCUGAUUACUUCUGCAUCACCCAGCUGACAAAUAUUUAUGUGUAGUAUUGCUGUCACCUGUUUUAUAACAUUUUUUUUAACUUGAGACCUACUUUCAAUAGUCACUAUGUUUUCUCUGUGCCUUUCUGGUUCAUCGUUACCACACAUACAUGGGAUGACCCCUACAUCUGGGAAAGAAUUCCAGCUCCCAGACUAUUCAACCCACUGUGCUGGCAGCAUUCCAUGAGCUCGUCUUGGGAAAUGAUAAUUGAUUACUCUGGGGGGAAAACUCCAUCUCAACACCAGCUGGCAGCCAGACCCUGCCCUAGAGCCCCCAAAUGAGUCUCCAGUGAAAUUCUCGGCAGGGACAGUGUACCCGUGCAUGGGGCUGACAUUAUCUUCAUGUCCAAAUCGUUGCUAGGUGUGUGUGCUUUCUUAAACAUACUCGAGUUUGUCAUCAAUAAAAGUCUCAGAGUGGUGAAUUUUCCAGUGGCUACCCCAGAGAGCCCUGUAGUAUUUUUUUCUUGCAGAUUUAAGCAAGCAGCAUGUUUUUCCAUCCAACCCCAUUUGAACAAAUAAGCCAGGUAAUAAAGAAACAACCCUGAAAUGCAACAGCCUUGCCCUGGUAGCAGAAAAGAAAGAAAGGACCACCUUGAAGAGACCAGGUUUGAGAAGCAGUGAGGUGAAGGUGGAUAUUUGUAUUCUGGAACAGAUGGACACCUUGUUCUCAGGGAUGUGUUGACUGUUACCUAUUAAGUCCAUCAAGGCUACCAUCCUAACUACUGGGAUUUGAAAAGGAAAACAAAAAUGCUGAUUAUUCACUUCAAAUGAAAGUGAGUAUUUUUUUUUUUUUUGACAGAGUCUCGCUCGGUUGCCCAGACUGGGGUGCAGUGGUGUGAUCUUGGCUCACUGCCACCUCUGCCUCCUGGGUUCAAGCAGUUGUCCCAUCUCAGCCUCCCAAAUAGCUGGGAUUACAGACACACACCACCAUGUCUGGCUAAUUUGGGUAUUUUUAGUAGAGACAGGGUUUCACCAUGUUGGCCCAGAUUUCACCAUAUUGGCCGGGAGUCAAACUCCUGACCUCAAGUGAUCCACCCGCGUCGGCCUCCCAAGUGCUGGGAUUACAGGUGUGAGCCAGUGCACCCAGCCGAAAGUGAGUACAAUUUUAAAACAUGAAUGUGAUUUCCAUUCUCAGAAGUGGUUUCUGGAUGCCAAAAACAUAUUUUGGAAUAAAUAUGAUUUUGCUGAAUAAAAUUCUUGAGAGUUCUUCCACUAUUUACACAGCACAUUCAUUCACAUGAACACAUGCCUGGAUACUGUCAUAUCCAUCAAGUCAUGAGAUGCCGAGACCUCACCGUCCACUAGACAUGAACAGUGAGGAAUAAAGAAUAAGAGAAUGAAUACACUAUGUCACCCCUACACAAAACCCUAAUUUAUGAAUAUCUCAAAUUCUUUAAAACUCAAAAAUAAACUUUACCUGUAAUAUCC